GACGAACGCUGGCGGCGUGCUUAACACAUGCAAGUGGAGCGACGAACCGGGCUUCGGCCCGGGGCAAAGCCGCGAACGGGUGAGUAACACGUGGGUAACCUGCCCCAAUGAUCGGGACAACCCGGGGAAACCCGGGCUAAUACCGAAUGUGCUCCCGCCACAUCAGUGGCGGAUGGAAAGGAAGCUUCGGCCUCCGCAUUGGGAUGGGCCCGCGGCCCAUUAGCUUGUUGGUGAGGUAACGGCUCACCAAGGCGACGAUCAGUAGCUGGUCUGAGAGGAUGAUCAGCCACAUUGGGACUGAGACACGGCCCAAACUCCUACGGGAGGCAGCAGUGGGGAAUAUUGGACAAUGGGCGCAAGCCUGAUCCAGCCAUGCCGCGUGAGUGAUGAAGGCCCUA
rnacentral:rRNA from 1 species